rnacentral:tRNA from 1 species
GAAGUCGUGGUGUUGCGGUAGCACCUUCGCCUCUCGACGUGAAAGACCUGGGUUCAAACCCGCCUCACUUCU